rnacentral:lncRNA from 1 species
CCCAAAUGGCAGUGAUGCACUGAGCAACUAACAGAAGCACAGUAAUGAUGACUAGUAAAGGCAUCAGCAGAAAAACCUUUCCCAGUUACCCCUGAAAUCACCCCAGGUUGAGAGAAGAGAGCACAGUUCCUUAGGGGACAACAGCUCCUCAGUUCCUGGUGCCUCCACGAGGGUACAAAGGCAGGAAGCGCAAGGAAUUUUGAAAGGACAGCCAGGAGGAUCCCCCAUCUUCAGAUGUUUUGCAGAAUUUUUGGCGUCAGUGUGAAGCAUCGGAGAAGAGGGGACCUUCACUUCUUGCCAACAGCCCUCCAACACCAUACUCAGAUACGACACC